AGUGAACGCUGGCGGUAGGCCUAACACAUGCAAGUCGAACGGCAGCACAGUAAGAGCUUGCUCUUACGGGUGGCGAGUGGCGGACGGGUGAGGAAUACAUCGGAAUCUACUUUUUCGUGGGGGAUAACGUAGGGAAACUUACGCUAAUACCGCAUACGACCUACGGGUGAAAGCAGGGGAUCUUCGGACCUUGCGCGAUUGAAUGAGCCGAUGUCGGAUUAGCUAGUUGGCGGGGUAAAGGCCCACCAAGGCGACGAUCCGUAGCUGGUCUGAGAGGAUGAUCAGCCACACUGGAAGUGAGACACGGUCCAGACUCCUACGGGAGGCAGCAGUGGGGAAUAUUGGACAAUGGGCGCAAGCCUGAUCUAGCCAUACCGCGUGGGUGAAGAAGGCCUUCGGGUUGUAAAGCCCUUUUGUUGGGAAAGAAAAGCAGCAGGUUAAUACCCCGCUGUUCUGACGGUACCCAAAGAAUAAGCACCGGCUAACUUCGUG
rnacentral:rRNA from 1 species